rnacentral:rRNA from 1 species
UACGAAGGGGACUAGCGUUGUUCGGAUUUACUGGGCGUAAAGCGCACGUAGGCGGAUCGAUCAGUCAGGGGUGAAAUCCCAGAGCUCAACUCUGGAACUGCCUUUGAUACUGUCGAUCUGGAGUAUGGAAGAGGUGAGUGGAAUUCCGAGUGUAGAGGUGAAAUUCGUAGAUAUUCGGAGGAACACCAGUGGCGAAGGCGGCUCACUGGUCCAUUACUGACGCUGAGGUGCGAAAGCGUGGGGAGCAAACAGG